ACGCCGUUUGAGCCGCUUCCCGCCACCGGAUCAAUCCGACAGAAGCUGAGAAAAGUUUGCGCAGGCUGUGGCGUGGUACGGGUUAUUCGUAGGCAUGGUCAGCCCAUGCCGGGCUCAGUUGUUCGCGAGAACUCACAUGUGAACGAUUCCGCGACGAGACGUGUUUAGCGGAGCAUUGCAGGCAGCAUUUUGGUCCGCUAAUGUUGGUUGGUGUGUGUUGUCUGCGGCUUGUCAAGAUCUGCGCGAUGGAAGAAGCGAGGAAACACCGACGCUCCUUGCGUGCCGCAGUGUGCGAAGUGAGCGCAUAAAGGAAAGAUUAGUCUUCAUUGCUUUCCGAAUGAUGUGGUCAAGAGAAGAGAACCGAUGUUGAGGCUCUGCAUCGACGAGCCGCUGUCGCGGUCGUGCAGCGCGAACUUCGUCGACAACGACUUCUUCAAGGCGUCAACAGUGCUUCACAAAAGCGACGGCACACAUGGAAGACAUGAAAGGGUAAGCGCCGACUCCUGUCAUCAGAUAUGUGUUAAUUUAACAUUUUUUUUUUUUAAGCAUGGCGUGUCACAAGUGAUGGUGCUAGUAUACGAGAGGGCCUCUAGGGUUUCUAGUUUACCGUGCAUGAAAGCAGUGAAAGUAAAAAAAUAGUAAUUGUGGGCUGUGUUGUCUAUAGUUUUGCUGUCUGUUAAAAAAAAAAGAAUGCUAAUGAGAAUCCCAUCCUACUAGAAGCUUGUUGGCAUUGUGCUAGUGAAACGACAUAGCUGUUAUGAAGAUGGCUAACUGCUAUUUGAGCUUAAGUUGUGCACAGACAUUAGAGAAGAUACCCCACGACUUGUACCUAAUGGAAACAAUGGCUGGUGAAGAGGAGUCUGGAAAUAAAAUGGUCGAAGAGAAUAGUUGAAAAUUGACUCUAGCAGUAAUGUGAAGUUGAAGAUUUAAAUAAGAAGAAAAUAGGUACCCAUUACUUCUUUUUUCGCCCGGAAAACGAGAUGUGCCCCAUCCACAAAGCCCUUUUCACUUCCAGCAUGAAGCAGGAUGAGCCGACCGCCUUAGCCGCUUGGUGCGGGAAGCCCAGUUGUGAGACCCUUGCCAAAGGUGUCCUCACGUGAUGACACAAUGGUUUCUUCCCACAUUCCCACACCUUAUCUUAUGUGUGCCCAGCAUUCAUCCAUGUCUCGUAGAGGUAAUAUGUAGUCCUGCAAAAGCAAGAUAAAUAUGCGUCAUUUUUUUU
rnacentral:lncRNA from 1 species